ensembl:snoRNA
UGUUGUGGUGAUGAUUGGCAAAAUGUUCAACUGCUCUGAAGACAGUGAAUGAGACCAGCCUUUCUGAACAAACC